AUUGAACGCUGGCGGCAGGCCUAACACAUGCAAGUCGAGCGGAUGAAGGGAGCUUGCUCCUGGAUUCAGCGGCGGACGGGUGAGUAAUGCCUAGGAAUCUGCCUGGUAGUGGGGGAUAACGUCCGGAAACGGGCGCUAAUACCGCAUACGUCCUGAGGGAGAAAGUGGGGGAUCUUCGGACCUCACCCUAUCAGAUGAGCCUAGGUCGGAUUAGCUAGUUGGUGGGGUAAAGGCCUACCAAGCCGACGAUCCGUAACUGGUCUGAGAGGAUGAUCAGUCACACUGGAACUGAGACACGGUCCAGACUCCUACGGGGGGCAGCAGUGGGGAAUAUUGGACAAUGGGCGAAAGCCUGAUCCAGCCAUGCCGCGUGUGUGAAGAAGGUCUUCGGAUUGUAAAGCACUUUAAGUUGGGAGGAAGGGCAGUAAGUUAAUACCUUGCUGUUUUGACGUUACCAACAGAAUAAGCACCGGCUAACUUCGUG
rnacentral:rRNA from 1 species